ensembl:lncRNA
GGAGAACCAAUAUUAACUGUCCUUCUUAGUGGUGUCUGUUCAAGUUCACCAAAGAUACGUCCCCUGGCAAAACCCAAUUCAAACCCAUCACUAGAGGAGUAACUUGUCUUCUCACUAUUUUGUGACAUCUUGAAUAUUACAAAUCAACAAAAGUAAAUUAGAACAGAUGAUGACCACAGAAAAAAAACUGUGUAGAUAGCUCAGAAAUAAUACACAAUCAAAUAAUCAAACAAAAUUUGUAUCACAAAUUCAAACUUCACUACUACUUUUUUCCUCUCUUCCGAGAAUAUGAACUAUCAAUCUUUUUCUGAAUUAUGUACAGUCUAAUGUCCAACCUUUUUUCUUUGACACAGGUACAGUCAUAAUUUGGGCGCUCCAGAAUGCAGCAAACCCCGGCGACCAAGCUGACGUUGAUCAAAGAGGAUCCACGAUGACUUGCAUCAAGGAAAAGUCACGGCACCAUUGUGACCGGUCUUUAUCUUCUCUCUGCGUUGUGUUGAUAUUUUAACCAGACCGGACAACAAGAGAUUCUUUGGACCACUUUUUUUAUUCUGAAUGAAUAAAAAGGAAAAUUUAUGAAAAAAGUUGUCAAUCCGUGGCCUUUCUCCACAAUUUCAACAUUGACCUGCCAGUCAAAACAGAUAAUUUUAGCCACGGAACUUACACGGUUAAUAAACACCAAAAGAAAAUACAUACUUCAUGUUACCCAACCUCUAUUAGUGUUACAAUAAGAUUAAAUUGUAUUUUUAACAAAAAAAAUACAUAUUAGUCACAAGAAACAAACUAAUUUAAAACUUUUUAGUGAGAGCUCCAGCAGAACUCACCUUUCCCCAGCUGCGCUUACCGCGAACUGAAGGAAAACAACCGGAACCUAACUCUUAAAGGGGCCACGUACUAUAUUUUAACAAUUACAAAAUAACACUGAAAAAUUUACAUACAAGGAUAGAAACAGCUCAAAUAACAUUCCAGAUGAAAGAAAAAUUCCCAGAAUAUAAAAAUAAUUAUAUAAAUAUAAAAUAAUUGAUAAUAACAAAGGGAGGGAUUUUGUGUGAAAUUAAUAAAUUUAU